rnacentral:rRNA from 1 species
GAUGAACGCUGGCGGCGUGCCUAAUACAUGCAAGUCGAGCGAACGGACGAGAAGCUUGCUUCUCUGAUGUUAGCGGCGGACGGGUGAGUAACACGAGGAUAACCUACCUAUAAGACUGGGAUAACUUCGGGAAACCGGAGCUAAUACCGGAUGAUAUUUUGAACCGCAUGGUUCAAAAGUGAAAGACGGUCUUGCUGUCACUUAUAGAUGGAUCCGCGCUGCAUUAGCUAGUUGGUAAGGUAACGGCUUACCAAGGCAACGAUGCAUAGCCGACCUGAGAGGGUGAUCGGCCACACUGGAACUGAGACACGGUCCAGACUCCUACGGGAGGCAGCAGUAGGGAAGCUUCCGCAAUGGGCGAAAGCCUGACGGAGCAACGCCGCGUGAGUGAUGAAGGUCUUCGGAUCGUAAAACGCUGUUAUUAGGGAAGAACAUAUGUGUAAGUAACUGUGCACAUCUUGACGGUACCUAAUCAGAAAGCCACGGCUAACUACGU